CGGGGCGUAGCGCAGCUUGGUAGCGCGCCUGCUUUGGGAGCAGGAUGUCGUAGGUUCGAAUCCUAUCGCCCCGA
rfam:Acidithiobacillus thiooxidans strain A02 contig351, whole genome shotgun sequence.